rnacentral:rRNA from 1 species
GACGAACGCUGGCGGCGUGCUUAACACAUGCAAGUCGAACGGAAAGGCCCUGCUUUUGUGGGGUGCUCGAGUGGCGAACGGGUGAGUAACACGUGAGUAACCUGCCCUUGACUUUGGGAUAACUUCAGGAAACUGGGGCUAAUACCGGAUAGGAGCUCCUGCUGCAUGGUGGGGGUUGGAAAGUUUCGGCGGUUGGGGAUCGACUCGCGGCUUGCCGGCUGGUGGGGGGGGUGGUGGCUAACAAAGGCUUUGCGUGGUAGCCGGCUGGGAGGGUUAGCCGGCCACAAUGGGCCUGCGGUAGGGCCCAGACGGCAACGGGAGGCAGCAGGGGGGAAUAUGGCACAAUGGGCGGAAGCCUGUUGCGACAACGCCGCGUGCGGGAUGACGGCCUUGGGGGUGUAAACCGCUUUCGCCUGUGACGAAGCUGGAGUGACGGUAAUGGGUAAAGAAGCACCGGCUAACUACGUG